rnacentral:rRNA from 1 species
CCUACGGGAGGCAGCAGUGGGGGAUAUUGCACAAUGGGGGCAACCCUGAUGCAGCGACGCCGCGUGCAGGAAGACGGCUCUAUGAGUUGUAAACUGCUUUUGUACAAGGGUAAACCUGAAUACGUGUAUUCAGCUGAAAGUACUGUACGAAUAAGGAUCGGCUAACUCCGUGCCAGCAGCCGCGGUAAUACGGAGGAUCCAAGCGUUAUCCGGAUUUAUUGGGUUUAAAGGGUGCGUAGGCGGAGUGAUAAGUUAGAGGUGAAAUGUCCGAGCGUAACUCGGGAACUGCCUCUAAUACUGUUGAUCUAGAGAGUAGAUGCGGUAGGCGGAAUGUAUGGUGUAGCGGUGAAAUGCUUAGAGAUCAUACAGAACACCGAUUGCGAAGGCAGCUUACCAAUCUAUAUCUGACGUUGAGGCACGAAAGCGUGGGGAGCAAACAGGAUUAGAUACCCCAGUAGUC